rnacentral:lncRNA from 1 species
CGGGGUUGGGGGUAAGGUUAUAAAUUAACAGCAUCUCAAGGCAGAAGAAUUUUUCUUAGUACAGAACAAAAUGGAGUCUCCUAUGUCUACUUCUUUCUACACAGACACAGUAACAAUCUGAUCUCUCUUUCUUUUCCCCACAGUGUGGGGGGUGGAACACAAGUUUAGAAGUCACAAAAGCAGUAUUCUGGGCCCUACAUGGUGAGCUGUCACUGAGUGAUGCUGGCAUUGCAACUGCUUCUGUAAACAGUGUAACUUCCUGCUAUGAGUCAGCUAAACAUUCCUGAAUCCAACCAUUCUACCCCUGGCAAACUCCAGUAUCUGAUGCUCUAUCACAUGUGGAAACAUAAAGUCACUCACAUCAGUUUCAACAAGUACACUGCUUAGUGAAAUAUGGGUCUUUAAAAACAUACUGGAAUUUGAAAAAAGAAACAACACAUUGAUGGUAAUGUCUUCCUCUGAAUGAAUGUGUGUAAAACUGUAACAAGCACAAAAACCAAAGCCAAAGAAUCAAAGACUUACAUCUGUCAAACCUAUUCCACAGAAGCCAUUUCAAUAUCAGGGCUAUUUCUUAGAUAGGUUUAAAAAUGUAUCUCACAAUUUAAAUUUGAAAACAAAGCAAAGCGCAAACACCAAGUAGAAGUUACACUACAAGGACCAUGCAGGUCAGCCAGGUGUAGAAGAUAAAUGGUCAAAAUAUGCUAUGAAGAAGAAAACUAAGAAAGGUACAUAGAGCAAUUCAAUCUCUACCAGGUUUUCUGAAUAAACAUUGGAAUUUAAUCGAAUUUAAAAUAAUUUCUCAUAAUGGAAUAUGGCAUGGGCCAGUUUUUCAGUUAAUAUAAUGUUUGUGACAAUGUGGGC